GGGCGUGCCUAAUACAUGCAAGUCGAGCGGGAUGACAGRAGGAGCUUGCUCCUCUYGAUUCAGGSGGCGGACGGGUGAGUAACACGUGGGGCAACCUGCCCUGUAGAUUGGGAUAACUCCGGGAAACCGGGGCUAAUACCGAAUAAUCCUUCGGACCUCAUGGUCCGAUGUUGAAAGGCGGCUUCGGCUGUCACUACAGGAUGGGCCCGCGGCGCAUUAGCUAGUUGGUGAGGUAACGGCUCACCAAGGCCACGAUGCGUAGCCGACCUGAGAGGGUGAUCGGCCACACUGGGACUGAGACACGGCCCAGACUCCUACGGGAGGCAGCAGUAGGGAAUCUUCCACAAUGGACGAAAGUCUGAUGGAGCAACGCCGCGUGAGUGAAGAAGGUUCUCGGAUCGUAAAACUCUGUUGUGAGGGAAGAACAAGUACCGGAAGUAACUGCCGGUACC
rnacentral:rRNA from 2 species